rnacentral:rRNA from 1 species
UACGGAAGGCAGCAGUGGGGAAUCUUGCACAAUGCACGAAAGUGUGAUGCAGCAACGCCGCGUGCGGGAAGACGGCCUUCGGGUUGUAAACCGCUUUCAGUUGGGACGAAGGUUCACGAGUUAAUAGCUCGUUGGAUUGACGGUACCUUCACAAGAAGCCCCGGCUAACUACGUGCCAGCAGCCGCGGUAAUACGUAGGGGCAAGCGUUGUCCGGAAUCAUUGGGCGUAAAGCGCGUGUAGGCGGCUCGAUAAGUCUGCUGUGAAAGUCCAGGGCUCAACCCCUGGGAUGCCGGUGGAUACUGUCGAGCUCGAGUCCGGAAGAGGAGUGUGGAAUUCCUGGUGUAGCGGUGAAAUGCGCAGAUAUCAGGAGGAACACCAAUAGCGAAGGGCAGCACUCUGGUACGUGACUGACGCUGAGACGCGAAAGCGUGGGGAGGCAAAC